AGAAGAGUGGCCGAGUGGCUUAAGGCGUACGCUUGGAAAGCGUAUGUACGUUAACGCGUACCAGGGGUUCGAAUCCCUUCUCUUCUG
rnacentral:tRNA from 1 species